GAAACACCGGUUCCUGUACGUUCACCGAAGUUAAGCAAUGUCGAACCUGGUCAGUACCUAGAUGGGUGAUUGUUUGGAAAUACCAGGUAUUGUAAG